rnacentral:rRNA from 1 species
GAGUUUGAUCGUGGCUCAGGAUGAACGCUGGCGGCGUGCUUAACACAUGCAAGUCGAACGAAGCGCCUUAUUUGAUUUUCUUCGGAACUGAAGAUUUGGUGACUGAGUGGCGGACGGGUGAGUAACGCGUGGGUAACCUGCCCUGUACAGGGGGAUAACAAUCAGAAAUGACUGCUAAUACCGCAUAAGACCACAGCACCGCAUGGUGCAGGGGUAAAAACUCCGGUGGUACAGGAUGGACCCGCGUCUGAUUAGCUGGUUGGUGAGGUAACGGCUCACCAAGGCGACGAUCAGUAGCCGGCUUGAGAGAGUGAACGGCCACAUUGGGACUGAGACACGGCCCAAACUCCUACGGGAGGCAGCAGUGGGGAAUAUUGCACAAUGGGGGAAACCCUGAUGCAGCAACGCCGCGUGAGUGAAGAAGUAUUCGGUAUGUAAAGCUCUAUCAGCAGGGAAGAAAGUGACGGUACCUGACUAAGAAGCCCCGGCUAACUACGUGCCAGCAGCCGCGGUAAUACC